rnacentral:rRNA from 1 species
GAUGAACGCUGGCGGCGUGCCUAAUACAUGCAAGUCGAGCGAACGGACGAGAAGCUUGCUUCUCUGAUGUUAGCGGCGGACGGGUGAGUAACACGUGGAUAACCUACCUAUAAGACUGGGAUAACUUCGGGAAACCGGAUCUAAUACCGGAUAAUAUUUUGAACCGCAUGGUUCAAAAGUGAAAGACGGUCUUGCUGUCACUUAUAGAUGGAUCCGCGCUGCAUUAGCUAGUUGGUAAGGUAACGGCUUACCAAGGCAACGAUGCAUAGCCGACCUGAGAGGGUGAUCGGCCACACUGGAACUGAGACACGGUCCAGACUCCUACGGGAGGCAGCAGUAGGGAAUCUUCGGCAAUGGGCGAAAGCCUGACGGAGCAACGCCGCGUGAGUGAUGAAGGUCUUCGGAUCGUAAAACUCUGUUAUUAGGGAAGAACAGAUGUGUAAGUAAAUGAGGACAUCUUGACGGUACCUAAUCAGAAAGCAACGGCUAACUACGUG